rnacentral:rRNA from 1 species
UACGAAGGGGGCUAGCGUUGCUCGGAAUCACUGGGCGUAAAGCGCACGUAGGCGGAUUGUUAAGUCAGGGGUGAAAUCCUGGAGCUCAACUCCAGAACUGCCUUUGAUACUGGCGAUCUCGAGUCCGGGAGAGGUGAGUGGAACUCCGAGUGUAGAGCUGAAAUUCGUAGAUAUUCGGAAGAACACCGGUGGCGAAGGCGGCGACCUGGUCCGCAACUGACGCUGAGGCGCGAAAGCGUGGGGAGCAAACAGG